UUCUCUCCAGGUUUUUUCUAAACAUUGCUUUUGAUAGUAUUAUUUUUAGUACUUUUCAUUGCAAUUUCCAAUUUUUUUUGUUGUUAGUAUAUAUAAAUAAUAAUUUUUGUAUAUCCACCUUGUAUCAUACAACCUUGAUAAACUCCCUUAUUACUUCCAGGAGCAUUUUUGCAGAUUUCAUUGAAUUUUUUAUAUAUAUGAUAACGUUAACUGUGAAUAAAGACAGUUUCCCUUCUUUCCUUCCAAACUGAACAUUUUCAUCCCCCACCCUGCCCAUUCCAGUUGCAAUCCCUGAUUUUCCUUUGAAUAGCAUCAGUUAAAUUUUUAUCUCUCUUAUGGUGUUUCAAAUGAUACCUAUGAAAAAGCUUUUUUAUAAAUGAAUUAUAGACAAAUUCAGCUUGCAUUAUUCCUUAACCAUAUCAUUUUCUCAUCACAGUUUUUUUUCCUGUACAUUCUUAUCGAUUUUUAAAAAGAAGUUUUCUUAUUUCCCUUGUUAGGUGCAGCUGAACGAUGUUUUCUACCAUUACUAGCAGGUACAUCUUAGUUUCUCCUUGUAAAUGAGGCGUGAUCAAUGCAUUUCUUCCCUUUCACUCCUUCUCUGUAAAACAGAUGCAACAUAUAUUCCUCUUCAGUUUCUCAUUAAAUCAAAGUAAUGGAUUAUGCGUAAAUCAAGAUAAUCUAUAUAAUGUGAUUUUGUAUAGUGUCUGGCACAGAAUAAGCAUACAGUAAAGUAUUGUUAUUUUAUGUAGCAUUACUACAAUUGGAAAAUAAAAAAUACUCUACAUUCAGUGUAUAAAUAAUGGAGAAGCAGAAAUCAUACAGAUCUAUUACAUGUCACAAAUAUUUUCAUUUAUCGAUUAUAAGAAUCUGUUAAACUCUCAACAUACUUAGUAGAUUUCAUAAUGUGAAGUUGGUAAGACCAUUUUGAUAUGGAUUUAUUUUUAACUUUCUUACUUGGAAAAAUUGCAUGGAAUGUAUGUUAAAUUCAAGAGCCAAUGCUUCACAAUUCUCUGUAACAGUAUUCUAACUAGCAAGCUCAUAUGUGUACUCACUUAUCUAAAACGGGUGAGGGUUUGACUAAAACUUCUAUAUUCUAAAUAAUCCCAGAGAAAAAGACACACUGAAGCUCCUAAAAGUCAACUGGGCAUCUUCAAAGUGUUUCCUGUGACUGUUCAUUAAAACAGUUUUUGCACCAUACAGCCACUUCAUUUUUUCCAUGUUUCAAAUUAGAAUAUUAUAUAAAAGACUCCUAUCCAGAAUACAUAAAUAAUCAUUAAAACUGAACAAUAAGACAACAAAGAACACAAAACACAGUGUAUAAUACAUAGUAAUUUAACAUGUAUAGAGAUAGGCAGCUAAAGAAAUAAUUAUAGUUGUGUGCACAUAUUGGUUAGCAUAUACAUGCAUAUAUUCUAUAGCUCUGUCUGCUGAGAAACUAGAAAAAAAUGACUCAUUCCUUGGAGAAAUGAGUAAUUCUAGGCCUGGGGCAUUGAAAACACAAGAUGGGGCUGGAGUAUUAUGUGAUGUCAGAAAAUACAGAAGUUCUCAGAAAACAAAAGGAUAAAAGCAGAUCAGGAGGCAAACUGAAAGAGCACUCAAUGGCCACAGUUAAAACAAUUGAAGCAACACAAGAAUUAAAAUUUAAAAAUUAUAACACAGUAUCAAAUAAAAUAUCCAUGAGUCCAUACUGAUAUAAAUAAUUGUACAGAUAAAUAAAUGAAAAAAAGGUACAAAUCUGUCUUACAAAGAAUUUCAAAAAAUACAUAGAUACUCCUCCCUCCAAGAGGUGGAAUUUAAACGCCCUCCACAGAGAGUGGGCUGGAUUCUAAAAAAUAGAAUAUGGAAAGGGAAAAAUAGUGACCUUUUAGUGGAGAAGCCUGGCAGUUCUCUCCUUAACCAAGUGAUCAAUGUUAAUAGCAGCAGUGAGAAGUCACGUUGGUAUCAUGCACUCCUCUGAUAGGAUGUGAUGAGAAAGACAUUUCAUCUCCAAAGUAUUCUUCUCUAAAUUCCAGAAUUCUAGUCUAAUGAGGAGAAAACAUCUAACAAACCCAAGUCCAGGGACAUUCUACAAAAUUCUGAAGUACUCCUCCAAACCAUGAGGUCUUGGGAAACAAGUAAACGGAUAAUGAAGUCAAGAUAGAAGAGUAAUGAAGAUACAAAGUUUGGCGAGUACCAACUGGGAGUGAAAGCACCUUACUUGUCCAAACAGCCCUUCUUGGGUUAAAGAAAACUGACAUUACUAUAGAGCACAAAGAAAUUACAACUGGCCUGUUCAGUCAACAAGCAACAACUGCCUUAGUAUGAGGUCUUACUCCAGAAAUGAGUAAUGCAGCUUACAAGCAAAACCAACACCAAAGAGCUAAUAAAUAAGUGUUCAAGGAAGUCAAAAUGCUCUGAGCAGAGCAACAUGUAAUGAAUAAGCAAACAAGAAAAUGAAAACAAACAAUGAAAAUCAAUGUGAUGAAGCCUAAGCAGUCCCAGUUCUGACAUCUUAGUGUGCCUCUGACUGCUCUUAGUUACCUACAACCUUUACUGCAGGCUUAACUCAGGACACCAUUUUCAUCCUCCAGCAGACUCAAGUUAUCCGCAAGUUUGCUGCCUCUUCCACCCACACACAGCCCCUGCCAGCUUUUCUCAGAUACCUAAUCAUUUUCACUCUGAUCUGACCCACUUUGGAAAUAUUUUGUUUUUAUUAGCUCUCGGUAAGUUUGCUUUCUGUGAUGGUUAAUUUUCUGUGUCAACUUGGCUAGGUUAUGGUGCCAAAUUGUUUGGUCAAUCAGUCUAGAUGUUGCUGUGGAGGUAUUUUGUACUUGUGAUUUAACAUUUUAUAUCAGUAGACUUUGAAUAAAUCAGAUUUAUCCUCCAUAGGAUGGGUGAGGAUCAUCCAAUCAGUUGAAGGCUUUUAGGAAAAAGACAAAAGUUCUUCCAAGAAGACGAAUUCUCCCUCCAGACUGAAACACAGGGAUCUGAGUUUCCAGCCGUUAGAAUCAAGACUGCAUCAUCAACUUUUGACCGAAUUUAUAACCCACAACCAGCUCUGCAGACUUUGGAUUAGCCAAUCCCACAGUUGUAUAAACCAAUUCCUUAAAUCUCUCUCUCUCUUUCUAUACACACACACACACACACAGACACACACACACGUAUAUAUCCUAUUAUUUCCUUUGUAAAUAAAUCUUAUUUUCUAUUAUCCUAUAUAUCCUACCUCUCUCUUUAUACAUAUAGUCCUAGUACUUUCUUUUCUUUCUGGAGAACCUUGAUUAAUACACUAUUCAUUUUGAUCACCUUUUUCUACCAGUAACAAUGCACAUAUCUUGUCUUAUAAUGAGAUACACUGCAGCAAUUUUACCACUGCUAUACCCACUGACACUUUUUCUCAGCAAGAUAUAAAAUGUAGUUAAGGCCUAAGAAAUAAUGUAGACUUAAAUGUUUCCAUUUUGUUCUUUGAAUCAAAAAGCAUAGAAGAAUUAUUCCAUACCUUGGCUAAAUAUCAGAAUCACUUGUGGCCCAUCUUAAAAGUGUAUAUGCCAACGUUCUACCCCGAGCCUGCUGAAUCAAAAUUCCUGCCAUUGAUAAUGAUUCUCAGGCAAGGGCUGAAAUCCCUGAAUACAUAAUAAUUUGAUCACAGUAUCUCAGACAGGAUAUAGUCCAGCAUGACUGUUAUUAAUAAAGAACUUGAGGCAAAAAGAGAACAAAUGAUUUAUACAAGUUCUGAAAAAGUAAGCAUGAACAGUGUCAGGCUAGUAUUUUUCACGUUUCUGGAAGAUUCCAUCUAUUUUCUGGUAUAGAUAAAUUCCAGAAAACUGUAACAGUAUUCUUGUCUCUUUCUGUGGAUAUUUAUCAUCUGGUCCGUUGUUCCAAUUCACAAAUAUAAAUGGAUUGCAAUAUUUAGAAAAUAAUCGAACAAAGGCAGCACUAUUUUAUAAGGUGGUUCAAGUACAAAUGACACUCUCCAGUAUAAAGUUAGAGGACUUCACAAACGGCUAAAAUCUUGGCAAUUUUGUGUGUUGUUAAAGUAAUAAAACUUUGAGGACAGGUAAA